rnacentral:rRNA from 1 species
CCUACGGGAGGCAGCAGUGGGGAAUAUUGCACAAUGGGGGAAACCCUGAUGCAGCGACGCCGCGUGAGUGAAGAAGUACUUCGUUAUGUAAAGCUCUAUCAGCAGGGAAGAAAAUGACGGUACCUGAGUAAGAAGCCCCGGCUAACUACGUGCCAGCAGCCGCGGUAAUACGCAGGGGGCAAGCGUUCUCCGGAUUUACUGGGUGUAAAGGGAGCGUAGACGGCAGUGCAAGUCUGGAGUGAAAGGCGGGGGCCCAACCCCCGGACUGCUCUGGAAACUGUACGGCUGGAGUGCAGGAGAGGUAAGUGGAAUUCCUGGUGUAGCGGUGAAAUGCGUAGAUAUUAGGAGGAACACCAGUGGCGAAGGCGGCUUACUGGACUGUAACUGACGUUGAGGCUCGAAAGCGUGGGGAGCAAACAGGAUUAGAUACCCCUGUAGUC